rnacentral:sRNA from 1 species
UCCUAGCCCAGAUAGGAACGGCAUCCUUUUUUGUGGCAGAUGGAGUGAAACGGAAGCUGGCGCAAAAAAGAUACAGUGGAUAGCUGGAUUAGCU